ACAUAUCCCAAGUAAAAUAAUUAAAAAAAAAGCAAAUAAAAACGCCAUAUUCUGCAUGGAUCUCCAGAAACUAAAUUGAUAAUGACACGUUUAGUGUCGGCAUUCUAUAUAUUUUCCAAAAUUCAAAACCCCUUUCCACGUUGGGUCUCAUUCCCUAAUUUCUACUUUUCAUGGACAAAUACUGAAUGUGCAUACAGAAAGGACCUUAAUGAAAAAUGAAAAGGCAAGAUCAAAA
rnacentral:misc_RNA from 1 species